CAUUCAUCCACCAAUGGACAUUUAGGUUGUUUCUUUGUCUUGACUAUUAGGUUGUUUCUUUGUCUUGACAUAGGGGUGCAUGUAUCUUUUUCAAUUAUAGUUUUGUCUGGAUGGAUGCCCAGGAGUGGAAUUGCUGAAACAUGUAGUAAUGCUGUCCUUAGUUUUCUGAGGAAAACCUGUUUUCCGUAGUGGCUGUACCAACUGAACAUUCCUACAUUGUUCAGGAAACUGUUUAACACUUAUUAUUCCUCUAUAUUACAUCUAGUGCAGUUGUUAAUAAAUAGAAGCUACCCAAGAGAUCAAAGCCUUUUUUCAAUGACUUAGGUCUUCAUCAUGAAAACUAUUAAUAGGACACCAACAUAAUAUCACAUGGGGUUCAUAUAUUUGGAGAGGUUUGAAAUUGUUGAUUUGAUGUGCAGAUUUAGCCUUCACUGCUGAAAAAUUUUUUUUCUCUCUUUCUGGGUCUUAACAAGGAAUCCGAGGAAGCUGAAUGAACCAGGUGACCCACCAUUUGCAUAAUGAACUUCUUCGGUUACACCACAUUCUGCAUUUAUCAAUGUCUAUUGCUUUCUGGAGAAGACUUUCGUUUUAUGGAGGAUGCAUUGCUCAAACAAAAGGUAAUUUACAAUAUUUUUUGAUACCAUAUACUUUGAAAUACAUUCUCAUCACAACGUCCCAAUAAAAUAGGGGGGAAAUGAGUUAUUUUCUUCAUUUUAUAGGAUAUCACACUAAGUCUCAGGGAGGUUAAGUGACUUCCAAAGGCAUGAAGCAGAGAGUAGUCUAUAGAGAUGUAUAAUUCCUAAACAUACAUUUUAUAGAAUCUUAUUUCCUAUUAACUCUUAAAGGCAAUAUUAAACUUAUAGCACUAAUGUUCUGCUGAUUUUAUUUGGGGGGGGCAUGGUUUGUUUUGAUCCAUACCCAUAGUAAGCAUGAAAGGAUAUCACAUUAUACCAGUCCAGUAGAAGAGGCAAAAAAUAUAUACCUCCUCGGUAGAGGGGCAAAGUAUAUACCUCCUCCAUAGAGGGGCAAAAGUCAACAUUCCUGUUGAUGUUCAGCUUGCAAAACCAAUACUAUCAUCAACAGGCAUGACAAAGUGUCUGUUCCAGUGUAUCCUACUACAAGAAAUGUACCUCCCUUCUACUAAAGACAUGUAUACUGUGUAUAUUUUUUGCCUCUUCUAUUGGUCCCAUGUAUUGUAUGUUUUCUAUAGGUAUGGAUCAAAAAGAAUUGAAACAUAGGCAUUUACAGAGUAUUGGUAAAAGUGAAAACAAAUCACCUGAUUAUGUUAGUUAAAUGUGAAACUGUGUUUCAAAAUGCCUUACGUCUUCCUAUUGUUCAGGCUUCUUAGUUUCCAUCAUUAGAAUUCACCUUAGCUAGUUUAAGUAAAAAAAGAAUUUAUGGAUACAUGUUGGAAGCUCAAAAGAAUUACUAGGCUUUGAACUCCAUUGUCAGAACAUCCCCUGCUACAGAAGUGGCCUGAGAAGAUGUCUCUAGACACUAAUGACGUCAGAACAACUUUGGCUCUGCCACAACUGAGAUUUUUAAUUUGAAAUGCUGUCACCUGCUGCCAGUUCCAGAAACACCAUGCUGAACUGGCUUGACUAGGAAUUUAUCAC
rnacentral:lncRNA from 1 species